rnacentral:rRNA from 1 species
CUGUGAAGGUGCUGCAUGGUUGUCGUCAGCUUGUGCCGUGAGGUGUCGGCUUAAGUGCCAUAACGAGCGCAACCCUUGUUGUCAGUUACUAACAGGUUCCGCUGAGGACUCUGACAAGACUGCCAUCGUAAGAUGUGAGGAAGGUGGGGAUGACGUCAAAUCAGCACGGCCCUUACGUCCGGGGCUACACACGUGUUACAAUGGGGGGUACAGAGGGCCGCUACCACGCGAGUGGAUGCCAAUCCCAAAAACCUCUCUCAGUUCGGACUGGAGUCUGCAACCCGACUCCACGAAGCUGGAUUCGCUAGUAAUCGCGCAUCAGCCACGGCGCGGUGAAUACGUUCCCGGGCCUUGUACACACCGCCCGUCAAGCCAUGGGAGCCGGGGGUACCUGAAGUGCGUAACCGCGAGGAGCGCCCUAGGGUAAAACUGGUGACUGGGGCUAAGUCGUAACAAGGUAGCCGUACCGGAAGGUGCGGCUGGAUCACCUC